rnacentral:rRNA from 1 species
GACGAACGCUGGCGGCGUGCUUAACACAUGCAAGUCGAACGGUAAGGCCCUUCGGGGUACACGAGUGGCGAACGGGUGAGUAACACGUGGGUGAUCUGCCCUGCACUUCGGGAUAAGCCUGGGAAACUGGGUCUAAUACCGGAUAGGACCACUGCCUGCAUGGGUGGUGGUGGAAAGCUUUUGCGGUGUGGGAUGGGCCCGCGGCCUAUCAGCUUGUUGGUGGGGUGAUGGCCUACCAAGGCGACGACGGGUAGCCGGCCUGAGAGGGUGACCGGCCACACGGGGACGGAGAUACGGCCCAGACUCCUACGGGAGGCAGUAGUGGGGAAUAUUGCACAAUGGGCGCAAGCCUGAUGCAGCGACGCCGCGUGAGGGAUGACGGCCUUCGGGUUGUAAACCUCUUUCAGCACCGACGAAGCGCAAGUGACGGUAGGUGCAGAAGAAGGACCGGCCAACUACGUGCCAGCCGCCGCCGUAA